AGUGAACGCUGGCGGUAGGCCUUACACAUGCAAGUCGAACGGCAGCACAGUAAGAGCCUGCUCUUACGGGUGGCGAGUGGCGGACGGGUGAGGAAAACAUCGGAAUUUACUUUUUAGAGGGGGAUAAAGUAGGGAAAAUUACGCCAAAACCGCAUACGACCUAAGGGUGAAAGCAGGGGAUCUUCGGACAUUGCGCGAUCGAAUGAGCCGAUGUCGGAUUAGCUAGUUGGAGGGGUAAAGGCCCACCAAGGCGACGAUCCGUAGCUGGUCUGAGAGGAUGAUCAGCCACACUGGAACUGAGACACGGUCCAGACUCCUACGGGAGGCAGCAGUGGGGAAUAUUGGACAAUGGGCGCAAGCCUGAUCCAGCCAUGCCGCGUGGGUGAAGAAGGCCUUCGGGUUGUAAAGCCCUUUUGUUGGGAAAGAAAAGCAGCAGGUUAAUACCCCGCUGUUCUGACGGUACCCAAAGAAUAAGCACCGGCUAACUUCGUG
rnacentral:rRNA from 1 species